rnacentral:rRNA from 1 species
CUUGAGUAUUGACCUUGGGAACUUAAGUGCAGAGGGGUGCUAUGUGAAUCACAGUUGAACAGGGGUCAGUCGGUCCUUAAGGAAAGGAGAAAUCCUUUCUGAAGCGGGCGCGUUUGUGCAGCUCAGUUGGUGAAUCGGAGGCGCCCCCGUGCAGCCUAAAAUGAAUCGGGUUAACUGUCCCAAACCUUGCUAUGUUGAUCGGUCCUUUCGGAACCAGUUCGGCAACGCAGACUAGCUCGGAGACGCCGAUGAAAGCCCCAGAAGAGUUUCAUUUUUUCUGUAAAGAGACUAAGUCCAGAGCAGUGCGGCGCUUGCGCUAUCUGGAGCUCUGCUGUCAGUCCUUGAAAAUCCCAGUACGGGAGAGUGAUUUUAGUCCGCAGCAGGUUUUCAAGAUGAACAUCUAGUC